AGUGAACGCUGGCGGUAGGCCUAACACAUGCAAGUCGAACGGCAGCACAGUAAGAGCUUGCUCUUACGGGUGGCGAGUGGCGGACGGGUGAGGAAUACAUCGGAAUCUACUUUUUCGUGGGGGAUACGUAGGGAAACUUACGCUAAUACCGCAUACAACCUACGGGUGAAAGCAGGGGAUCUUCGGACCUUGCGCGAUUGAAUGAGCCGAUGUCGGAUUAGCUAGUUGGCGGGGUAAAGGCCCACCAAGGCGACGAUCCGUAGCUGGUCUGAGAGGAUGAUCAGCCACACUGGAACUGAGACACGGUCCAGACUCCUACGGGAGGCAGCAGUGGGGAAUAUUGGACAAUGGGCGCAAGCCUGAUCCAGCCAUACCGCGUGGGUGAAGAAGGCCUUCGGGUUGUAAAGCCCUUUUGUUGGGAAAGAAAAGCAGCAGGUUAAUACCCCGCUGUUCUGACGGUACCCAAAGAAUAAGCACCGGCUAACUUCGUG
rnacentral:rRNA from 1 species